rnacentral:rRNA from 1 species
UUGGCCUUGACAUACUAAGAACUUUCCAGAGAUGGAUUGGUGCCUUCGGGAACUUAGAUACAGGUGCUGCAUGGCUGUCGUCAGCUCGUGUCGUGAGAUGUUGGGUUAAGUCCGCAACGAGCGCAACCCUUUUCCUUAUUUGCCAGCGGGUAAUGCCGGGAACUUUAAGGAUACUGCCAGUGACAAACUGGAGGAAGGCGGGGACGACGUCAAGUCAUCAUGGCCCUUACGGCCAGGGCUACACACGUGCUACAAUGGUCGGUACAAAGGGUUGCUACCUCGCGAGAGGAUGCUAAUCUCAAAAAGCCGAUCGUAGUCCGGAUCGCAGUCUGCAACUCGACCGCGUGAAGUCGGAAUCGCUAGUAAUCGCGGAUCAGAAUGCCGCGAUGAAUACGUUCCCGGGCCUUGUACACACCGCCCGUCACACCAUGGGAGUUUGUUGCACCAGAAGUAGGUAGUCUAACCGCAAGGAGGACGCUUACCACGGUGUGGCCGAUGACUGGGGUGAAGUCGUAACAAGGUAAGCGUAGAUGA